UGGCUCAGUUGGUAGAGCAUGGUACAUGGUGUUUGCAAUGCCAGGGUUGUGGGUUCGAUUCCCAC
rnacentral:tRNA from 1 species